rnacentral:rRNA from 1 species
GAUGAACGCUGACAGCAUGCUUAACACAUGCAAGUCGUUGGCGAAGCUGCGCUUGCGCAGUCUAGCCAAGGCGGACGGGUGAGUAACGCGUAAGGAACUUGCCCUGCAGACAGGGAUAACAUACGGAAACGACUGAUAACACCUGGUAUUGUCAGGCUGUCGCAUGCCGGCCUGAUGAAAGGAGGCGCUGCAGGAGAGCCUUUCGUCCUGUUAGCUAGUUGGUGUGGUAACGGCCCACCCAGGCGGUGAGAGGUAGCCGGCCUGAGCGGGUGAACGGUCAAAAGGGGACUGAGAUACAGCACUUACGCCUCCGGGAGGAAGCACGAGGGACUAUUGGACCAUGGGCGCAAGCCUGAUGAAGCAAUUCGGUUCGCAAGAAGAAGGUUUUAGGAUUGUAAAGUGGUUUCAGUAGGGAAGAAGAAAGUGACGGUACCUGCAGAAGAAGCGACGGCUAACUACGUG